CCUACGGGUGGCAGCAGUAGGGAAUAUUGCUCAAUGGGGGAAACCCUGAAGCAGCAACGCCGCGUGGGGGAUGAAGGUUCUCUGAUUUUAAACUCCUUUUGUUAGAGAAGAUAAUGACGGUAUCUAACGAAUAAGCACCGGCUAACUCCGUGCCAGCAGCCGCGGUACUACGGAGGGUGCAAGCGUUAUUCGGAAUCACUGGGCGUAAAGGGCGUGUAGGCGGGAUAGCAAGUCAGAUGUGAAAUCCUAUGGCUUAACCAUAGAACUGCAUUUGAAACUGUUAUUCUAGAGUAUGGGAAGGGUAGGUGGAAUUCUUGGUGUAGGGGUAAAAUCCGUAGAGAUCAAGAGGAAUACUCAUUGCGAAGGCGGCCUGCUAGAACAUAACUGACGCUGAUGCGCGAAAGCGUGGGGAGCAAACAGGAUUAGAUACCCUUGUAGUC
rnacentral:rRNA from 1 species